rfam:Schistosoma mattheei strain Denwood, Zambia genome assembly, scaffold: SMTD_scaffold0026121
AUUCAAAUGACGAGUCCCAAAUAGGAUAAAACGCGCGUCCUACAU